UGCGCCUUGCCAGCCCGCUCAGAAACUUAAAGGAAUUGACGGGGGCCCGCACAAGCGGAGGAACAUGUGGUUUAAUUCGAUGAUACGCGAGGAACCCUUACCUGGGCUAGAACGCAUUCGGAAUCAGGCCGAAAGGCCUGCGCCAGCGAUGGCCGCUUGCGAGGUGCUGCAUGGUUGUCGUCAGCUCGUGCCGUGAGGUGUCGGGUUAAGUCCCAUAACGAGCGCAACCCCUACUGCUAGUUGCCAGCGGGUCAUGCCGGGGACUCUAGCGGAACUGCCAGCGUAAGCUGCGAGGAAGGUGGGGAUGACGUCAAAUCAGCACGGCCCUUACGUCCAGGGCUACACACGUGUUACAAUGGCCGGUACAGAGGGCAGCCACCCCGCGAGGGGGCGCGAAUCCCGAAAGCCGGUCCCAGUUCGGAUCGGAGUCUGCAACCCGACUCCGUGAAGCUGGAUUCGCUAGUAAUCGCGCAUCAGCCACGGCGCGGUGAAUACGUUCCCGGGCCUU
rnacentral:rRNA from 1 species